GCGCGAUUAGCUCAGUGGUAGAGCGCUUGCUUCACACGCAAGAAGUCGCUGGUUCGAUCCCAGCAUCGCGCACCA
rnacentral:tRNA from 1 species